GUUCCGGUUGCUAGGUCGCUUUUCUUCCUCCCUUCCCUAUCAAGGAAGAGGUCAUGGGUUCGAAUCCCAUCCGGGCUA
rnacentral:tRNA from 1 species